GACGAACGCUGGCGGCGUGCUUAACACAUGCAAGUCGAACGGUAAGGCCCUUCGGGGUACACGAGUGGCGAACGGGUGAGUAACACGUGGGUGAUCUGCCCUGCACUUCGGGAUAAGCCUGGGAAACUGGGUCUAAUACCGGAUAGGACUCCGGACUGCAUGGUCUGGGGUGGAAAGCUUUUGCGGUGUGGGAUGGGCCCGCGGCCUAUCAGCUUGUUGGUGGGGUGAUGGACUACCAAGGCGACGACGGGUAGCCGGCCUGAGAGGGUGACCGGCCACUCUGUGACUGAGAUACGGCCCGGACUCCUACGGGAGGCAGCAGUGGGGAAUAUUGCACAAUGGGCGCAAGCCUGAUGCAGCGACGCCGCGUGAGGGAUGACGGCCUUCGGGUUGUAAACCUCUUUCAGCAUCGACGAAGCGAAAGUGACGGUAGGUGCAGAAGAAGGACCGGCCAACUACGUGCCAGCCGCCGCCGUAA
rnacentral:rRNA from 1 species